rnacentral:rRNA from 2 species
UGAGGAAUAUUGGUCAAUGGACGAGAGUCUGAACCAGCCAAGUAGCGUGAAGGAUGACUGCCCUAUGGGUUGUAAACUUCUUUUAUACGGGAAUAAAGUUAGCCACGUGUGGUUUUUUGCAUGUACCGUAUGAAUAAGGAUCGGCUAACUCCGUGCCAGCAGCCGCGGUAAUACGGAGGAUCCGAGCGUUAUCCGGAUUUAUUGGGUUUAAAGGGAGCGUAGGCGGGGUAUUAAGUCAGUUGUGAAAGUUUGCGGCUCAACCGUAAAAUUGCAGUUGAUACUGGUAUCCUUGAGUGCAGCAGAGGUGGGCGGAAUUCGUGGUGUAGCGGUGAAAUGCUUAGAUAUCACGAAGAACUCCGAUUGCGAAGGCAGCUCACUGGAGUGUAACUGACGCUGAUGCUCGAAAGUGUGGGUAUCAAACAGG